rnacentral:rRNA from 1 species
UACGUAGGGGCCGAGCGUUGUCCGGAGUUAUUGGGCGUAAAGCGCGCGCAGGCGGCUUGGCGCGCCCGACGUGAAAGCCCCCGGCUUAACCGGGGAGAGUCGUCGGGGACGGCCGGGCUUGAGGGCGGGAGAGGGUGGUGGAAUUCUCGGUGUAGUGGUGAAAUGCGUAGAGAUCGGGAGGAACACCUGUGGCGAAGGCGGCCACCUGGGCCGACCCUGACGCUGAGGCGCGAAGGCGUGGGGAGCGAACGGG